rnacentral:lncRNA from 1 species
GAUAAUUGUUUGAGGCAUGAAAAAGGCAGGUUUCAGCUUUCCUAACUGGAAUGGAGGUAAUUACUGUCUUCCACACACGAGCCGGUACAUGCUUGAAAUCAGAUGGCUCUGGGUUGUUUUAGAAAGUGUAGCUGGGCCUCUGAGCCAGGAGAGGGAGGAUUAUGGAGCCUUCCAGCGGCUCCAUUCCAGAGAGGGAGGAAUUCAGACAUCCCAGAAACGGUGAGGGUAACUUCCAUAUUUUUUUUGCAGUCUCUUCAAUUCUGCCCAAGAGAUUUGGCCUGAAAAGAUUGUGCCUUCAACCUCAUCCUGGAAAUUCAGAAGACCUUCUCUUCCAGCUCAGUGGGAUGAAGUCAACAAGGUCUUUGCUUUACAAAAUCAUGCCU